rfam:Trueperella bernardiae strain LCDC 89-0504 AQZ59_contig000001, whole genome shotgun sequence.
GCAGUUGGCCGGGCGGCCGCGUGGGCGCAUGCCCCCGAGGAACGUCCGGGCUCCACGGGAAACGGUGGUGGAUAACGUCCACUCGGAGUGAUCCGCAGGCUAGUGCCACAGAAAGCAAACCGCCGCCCACGGGCGGUAAGGGUGAAAGGGUGAGGUAAGAGCUCACCGCGUUUCAGGUGACUGGGACGGCAGGGUAAACCCCACCGGGAGCAAGACCGAGCAGCGCGCUGUGAGAUCCCGCUCGCGCGCGGGUUGGUUGCUUGAGCCCACCGGCAACGAUGGGCCUAGAUAGAUGGCCGCCGCCUUUUGGCACAGAACCCGGCGUAUAGGCCAGCUGCACGU